rnacentral:lncRNA from 1 species
GAAACACCGAUGAAUGGAUCUUAGCCCACUAAUGAGUUCAAAUUACUUUGAUCCUCUCCACUUGGGAUCAUCCCCCUCAAAUGAGUCAUGGGACACAUAGCCUUGAGGAUAACAUUAUAUGCCAAGUGUGAUCCACAAAGGCGUGCUCCAUGGAAUGGUGGAUCAGAGGUGGGUUUACCGACGAGUAUGAUGCUAAGUUGUGUACAAUAUUUUGAAUCUUGCCUUGGCCAAGGUACCGAAUUAAGAACAGCAAAAAAGUAAAAAAGUGAAAAGAAAGUAAAAAAAAGAAAUAGUUAAAAAUAAGUAACAAAUUAAA